rnacentral:rRNA from 1 species
CAUGCAAGUCGAACGGGCCCUUCGGGGUCAGUGGCAGACGGGUGAGUAACGCGUGGGAACGUGCCCUUCAGUUCGGAAUAACCCAGGGAAACUUGGGCUAAUAUCGGAUACGUCCGAAAGGAGAAAGAUUGAUCGCUGAAGGAUCGGCCCGCGUCUGAUUAGCUGGUUGGUGGGGUAAUGGCCCACCAAGGCGACGAUCAGUAGCUGGUCUGAGAGGAUGAUCAGCCACACUGGGACUGAGACACGGCCCAGACUCCUACGGGAGGCAGCAGUGGGGAAUAUUGGACAAUGGGCGAAAGCCUGAUCCAGCAAUGCCGCGUGAGUGAUGAAGGCCUUAGGGUUGUAAAGCUCUUUUACCCGGGAUGAUAAUGACAGUACCGGGAGAAUAAGCUCCGGCUAACUCCGUGCCAGCAGCCGCGGUAAUACGGAGGGAGCUAGCGUUGUUCGGAUUUACUGGGCGUAAAGCGCGCGUAGGCGGACAUCUAAGUCAGGGGUGAAAUCCCAAGGCUCAACCUUGGAACUGCCUUUGAUACUGGAUGUCUGGAGAUCGGGAGAGGUGAGUGGAAUUCCGAGUGUAGAGGUGAAAUUCGUAGAUAU